CUUGUACUCCCUCCGUCCAAAAAUACUUGUUAUUGAAAUGGAUGUAUCUAGAUGUAUUUUAGUUAUAGACACAUCCAUUUUGAUGACAAGUAAUUCCGGACGGAGGGAGUACUUG
rnacentral:pre_miRNA from 1 species